UACAUUUGAGUGAGUGGCGAACUGGUGAGUAACACGUGGGAAACCUGCCCAGAAGCGGGGGAUAACACCUGGAAACAGAUGCUAAUACCGCAUAACAACUUGGACCGCAUGGUCCGAGCUUGAAAGAUGGCUUCGGCUAUCACUUUUGGAUGGUCCCGCGGCGUAUUAGCUAGAUGGUGGGGUAACGGCUCACCAUGGCAAUGAUACGUAGCCGACCUGAGAGGGUAAUCGGCCACAUUGGGACUGAGACACGGCCCAAACUCCUACGGGAGGCAGCAGUAGGGAAUCUUCCACAAUGGACGAAAGUCUGAUGGAGCAACGCCGCGUGAGUGAAGAAGGGUUUCGGCUCGUAAAACUCUGUUGUUAAAGAAGAACAUAUCUGAGAGUAACUGUUCAGGUAUUGACGGUAUUUAACCAGAAAGCCACGGCUAACUACGUGCCAGCAGCCGCGGUAAUACGUAGGUGGCAAGCGUUGUCCGGAUUUAUUGGGCGUAAAGCGAGCGCAGGCGGUUUUUUAAGUCUGAUGUGAAAGCCUUCGGCUCAACCGAAGAAGUGCAUCGGAAACUGGGAAACUUGAGUGCAGAAGAGGACAGUGGAACUCCAUGUGUAGCGGUGAAAUGCGUAGAUAUAUGGAAGAACACCAGUGGCGAAGGCGGCUGUCUGGUCUGUAACUGACGCUGAGGCUCGAAAGUAUGGGUAGCAAACAGGAUUAGAUACCCUGGUAGUCCAUACCGUAAACGAUGAAUGCUAAGUGUUGGAGGGUUUCCGCCCUUCAGUGCUGCAGCUAACGCAUUAAGCAUUCCGCCUGGGGAGUACGGCCGCAAGGCUGAAACUCAAAGGAAUUGACGGGGGCCCGCACAAGCGGUGGAGCAUGUGGUUUAAUUCGAAGCUACGCGAAGAACCUUACCAGGUCUUGACAUACUAUGCAAAUCUAAGAGAUUAGACGUUCCCUUCGGGGACAUGGAUACAGGUGGUGCAUGGUUGUCGUCAGCUCGUGUCGUGAGAUGUUGGGUUAAGUCCCGCAACGAGCGCAACCCUUAUUAUCAGUUGCCAGCAUUAAGUUGGGCACUCUGGUGAGACUGCCGGUGACAAACCGGAGGAAGGUGGGGAUGACGUCAAAUCAUCAUGCCCCUUAUGACCUGGGCUACACACGUGCUACAAUGGAUGGUACAACGAGUUGCGAACUCGCGAGAGUAAGCUAAUCUCUUAAAGCCAUUCUCAGUUCGGAUUGUAGGCUGCAACUCGCCUACAUGAAGUCGGAAUCGCUAGUAAUCGCGGAUCAGCAUGCCGCGGUGAAUACGUUCCCGGGCCUUGUACACACCGCCCGUCACACCAUGAGAGUUUGUAACACCCAAAGUCGGUGG
rnacentral:rRNA from 1 species